AUACGGAGGGUGCAAGCGUUGUUCGGAUUUACUGGGCGUAAAGGGCGUGUAGGCGGAUAUGCAAGCUGGAGGUGAAAGCCCCGGGCUCAACCCGGGAAUUGCUUUGUAGAACUGCAUAUCUAGAGAAAGUCAGAGGCAGGUGGAAUUCCAGGUGUAGAGGUGAAAUUCGUAGAGAUCUGGAGGAACACCGGCGGCGAAGGCGGCCUGCUGGGACUUUUCUGACGCUGAGGCGCGAAAGCGUGGGGAGCAAACAGGAUUAGAAACCCCAGUAGUCC
rnacentral:rRNA from 1 species